GACGAACGCUGGCGGCGUGCUUAACACAUGCAAGUCGAGCGGUAAGGCCCUUUCGGGGGUACACGAGCGGCGAACGGGUGAGUAACACGUGGGUGACCUGCCCUCAGCUCUGGGAUAAGCCUGGGAAACCGGGUCUAAUACUGGAUAUGACUCCAUGACGCAUGUUGUGGGGUGGAAAGCCUUGUGCGGCUGAGGAUGGGCCCGCGGCCUAUCAGCUUGUUGGUGGGGUGANGGCCUACCAAGGCGACGACGGGUAGCCGGCCUGAGAGGGCGACCGGCCACACUGGGACUGAGACACGGCCCAGACUCCUACGGGAGGCAGCAGUGGGGAAUCCUGCGCAAUGGGCGAAAGCCUGACGCAGCGACGCCGCGUGAGGGAUGACGGCC
rnacentral:rRNA from 1 species